ACUCCGUACGGGAGGCAGCAGGUGGGAAUAUUGCACAAUGGGCGCAAGCCUGAUGCAGCCAUGCCGCGUGUGUGAAGAAGGCCUUCGGGUUGUAAAGCACUUUCAGUCGUGAGGAAGGUAGUGUAGUUAAUAGCGCAUUUAUUGACGUUAGCGACAGAAGAAGCACCGGCUAACUCCGUGCCAGCAGCCGCGGUAAUACGGAGGGUGCGAGCGUUAAUCGGAAUUACUGGGCGUAAAGCGCAUGCAGGUGGUUUGUUAAGUCAGAUGUGAAAGCCCGGGGCUCAACCUCGGAAUUGCAUUUGAAACUGGCAGACUAGAGUACUGUAGAGGGGGGUAG
rnacentral:rRNA from 1 species